rnacentral:tRNA from 1 species
GCCGGCGUAGCUCAAUUGGCAGAGCAUGGGAUUUGUAAUCCCAGGGUUGAGGGUUCAAGUCCCUCCGCCGGCUCCA